rnacentral:rRNA from 1 species
ACGAACGCCUGGCGGCGUGCCUAAUACAUGCAAGUCGUACGGGAUUUGGGGGGCAACAUCCAAGUUCAAGUGGCCAGACGGGGUGCGUAACACGUGAAGAACCUUGUCCGGUGGCGGGGGAUAGCCGGCCCAACGGCCGGGUAAUACCGCAUACGCUCGCGUGACGGCAAUCGUUGCGCCGAGGAAAGCAGCCGCAAGGUUGCGCCGACGGAGAGCUUCGCGGCCUAUCAGCUAGUUGGCGGGGGUAAUGGCCCACCAAGGCGACGACGGGUAGCUGGUCUGAGAGGAUGAUCAGCCACAUUGGGACUGAGACAACGGCCCAGACUCCCUACGGGAGGCAGCAGUGGGGAAUAUUGCGCAAAUGGCCGCAAGGCUGACGCAGCGACGGCCGCCGUGUGGGAUGACGGUCUUCGGAUUGUAACCACUGUCAGGGGGAACGAAUACCGGGCGACGAAUAGCCGACCCCGGGGGUGACGGUACCUCCAAAAGGAAGCACCGGCUAACCCUCCGUGCCAGCAGCCGCCGGUAAUACGGAGGGGUGCGAAGCCGUUUGUCCGGAAAUCACUGGGGCGUAAAGGGCGCGUAGGUGGUUCGAUAAGUCCGCUGGUUGAAAUUCCGGGGCUCAAACUCCGGAGCUGCCGGCGAGACUGUCGGACUCGAGCACGGUAGGGGGCAGAUGGAAUUCCCGGUGUAGCGGUGGAAAUGCGUAGAUAUCGGGAAGAAUACCAGUGGCGAAGGCGUUCUGCUGGGCCGUUGCUGACAACUGAGGCGCGACAGCCGUGGGGGAGCAAACAGGAUUAGAUACCCUGGUAGUCCACGCCGUAAACGAUGGACACUAGGCGUCGGGGGGGAGCGACCCUCCCGGUGCCGUCGCUAACGCAGUAAGUGUCCCGCCUGGGGAGUACGGCCGCAAGGCUGAAACUCAAAGGAAUUGACGGGGGCCCGCACAAGCGGUGGAGCAUGUGGUUUAAUAUUCGAAGCAAACGCGAAGAAACCUUACCUGGGCUUUGACAUGCUGGUGAAAAGCCGGUGGAAAACAUACGGCCCCUCUUUCGGAGCGCCAGCACAGGUGCUGCAUGGCUGUCGUACAGCUCGUGUCGUGAGAUGUUUGGGGUUAAGUUCCCUUAACGAGCGAAACCCUUACCUUUAGUUACUACGGAUCAUGCCGAGGACUCUAAAGGGACUAGCCGGUGAGUCAAAACCGGAGGAAGGCCGGGGAUGACGUCAAGUCCCUCAUGGCCUUUACGUCUGGGGCUGCACACGUGCUACAAUGGCGUGAACAAAGGGAAGCCAAGGGCCGAGCCGGAGCAAAUCCCAAAAAACACGGCCCCAGUUCAGAUCGAGGGCUUGCAACUCGCCCUCGUGAAGUUGGAAUCGCUAGUAAUCGCAGGUCAGCAACACUGCGGUGAAUGUGUUCCUGAGCCUUGUACACACCGCCCGUCAAGCCACGGAAAGAGAGGGACGUCCGAAGUCCGCUAACCAGCCGCCGAAGACGGACUAUCUUGAUUGGGACUAAGUCG